GACGAACGCUGGCGGCGUGCUUAACACAUGCAAGUCGAACGGAAAGGCCCUGCUUUUGUGGGGUGCUCGAGUGGCGAACGGGUGAGUAACACGUGAGUAACCUGCCCUUGACUUUGGGAUAACUUCAGGAAACUGGGGCUAAUACCGGAUAGGAGCUCCUGCUGCAUGGUGGGGGUUGGAGAGUUUCGGCGGUUGGGGAUGGACUCGCGGCUUAUCAGCUUGUUGGUGGGGUAGUGGCUUACCAAGGCUUUGACGGGUAGCCGGCCUGAGAGGGUGACCGGCCACAUUGGGACUGAGAUACGGCCCAGACUCCUACGGGAGGCAGCAGUGGGGAAUAUUGCACAAUGGGCGGAAGCCUGGUGCAGCAACGCCGCGUGCGGGAUGACGGCCUUCGGGUUGUAAACCGCUUUCGCCUGUGACGAAGCGUGAGUGACGGUAAUGGGUAAAGAAGCACCGGCUAACUACGUG
rnacentral:rRNA from 1 species